GUUGUGGCUCAGGGGUAGAGCGCUUGCCUAGCACACAUGAGGCACUGGGUUCAAUUCUUAGUACAACA
rnacentral:tRNA from 1 species